rnacentral:rRNA from 1 species
CCUGGCUCAGAUUGAACGCUGGCGGCAGGCUUAACACAUGCAAGUCGAGCGGUAGCACAGGGGAGCUUGCUCCCUGGGUGACGAGCGGCGGACGGGUGAGUAAUGUCUGGGAAACUGCCUGAUGGAGGGGGAUAACUACUGGAAACGGUAGCUAAUACCGCAUAACGUCGCAAGACCAAAGAGGGGGACCUUCGGGCCUCUUGCCAUCAGAUGUGCCCAGAUGGGAUUAGCUAGUAGGUGGGGUAAUGGCUCACCUAGGCGACGAUCCCUAGCUGGUCUGAGAGGAUGACCAGCCACACUGGAACUGAGACACGGUCCAGACUCCUACGGGAGGCAGCAGUGGGGAAUAUUGCACAAUGGGCGCAAGCCUGAUGCAGCCAUGCCGCGUGUGUGAAGAAGGCCUUCGGGUUGUAAAGCACUUUCAGCGAGGAGGAAGGUGGUGAACUUAAUACGUUCAUCAAUUGACGUUACUCGCAGAAGAAGCACCGGCUAACUCCGUGCCAGCAGCCGCGGUAAUACGGAGGGUGCAAGCGUUAAUCGGAAUUACUGGGCGUAAAGCGCACGCAGGCGGUUUGUUAAGUCAGAUGUGAAAUCCCCGGGCUCAACCUGGGAACUGCAUUUGAAACUGGCAAGCUAGAGUCUCGUAGAGGGGGGUAGAAUUCCAGGUGUAGCGGUGAAAUGCGUAGAGAUCUGGAGGAAUACCGGUGGCGAAGGCGGCCCCCUGGACG